rnacentral:rRNA from 1 species
UAGGGAAUCUUCGGCAAUGGGGGCAACCCUGACCGAGCAACGCCGCGUGAGUGAAGAAGGUUUUCGGAUCGUAAAGCUCUGUUGUAAGUCAAGAACGGGUGUGAGAGUGGAAAGUUCACACUGUGACGGUAGCUUACCAGAAAGGGACGGCUAACUACGUGCCAGCAGCCGCGGUAAUACGUAGGUCCCGAGCGUUGUCCGGAUUUAUUGGGCGUAAAGCGAGCGCAGGCGGUUUGAUAAGUCUGAAGUUAAAGGCUGUGGCUCAACCAUAGUUCGCUUUGGAAACUGUCAAACUUGAGUGCAGAAGGGGAGAGUGGAAUUCCAUGUGUAGCGGUGAAAUGCGUAGAUAUAUGGAGGAACACCGGUGGCGAAAAGCGGCUCUCUGGUCUGUAACUGACGCUGAGGCUCGAAAAGCGUGGGGAGC